UUGACGUGUGCAAUGCGUAAAUUUCAAAAGCAUACCCGAGAGGCAUCUCUUUGAUUCUUCUAUCAAAGAAAGGUGUAGCAAAUCUAUGAAUUUUUCUUGAAAAAAUAUCUAUGGCAGGCACCUCAAAGGAAAGGUGUAGCAAAUCUGCUUUGAUCAUCCUCAGUACUGUAGACCUACAUUAAUUGUCUUCUUAUUUCAAGAGGUAUUUAUGCAGAGAUAGCAUAAUGGAAUAAAGAAUUCAUUGAUAGCCCAACAUCAUAAGCUCACAAGCUGCUGCACUCCGAAGGAACUGGGUGCCAUUGUACAUGUUGAAGUGAUCAUGUUUCCUAAAGUUGUAGGAUUAUACAGUGGGGGUGUGAACGAGCUCGAUGAAAUCCCAGAGGCAGCAAAAGAAACAGGUAGAGAGGCUAAUGGAGCCUGCUCAACUAUAUUGGCAAGGUUGUCGUUAAACUUAUCAUCAAAUAUGCUAAUGGUGUGUUCUUGUCCUAAACACUCCAAAUUAACCGAAGCUAAGAAAUUUUGGUUUUGUUAA